CCUACGGGGGGCAGCAGUGGGGAAUAUUGGACAAUGGGGGGAACCCUGAUCCAGCGACGCCGCGUGAGUGAAGAAGUAUUUCGGUAUGUAAAGCUCUAUCAGCAGGGAAGAAAGAAAUGACGGUACCUGACUAAGAAGCCCCGGCUAACUACGUGCCAGCAGCCGCGGUAAUACGUAGGGGGCAAGCGUUAUCCGGAUUUACUGGGUGUAAAGGGAGCGUAGACGGCGAUGCAAGUCUGAAGUGAAAGGCGGGGGCCCAACCCCUGGACUGCUUUGGAAACUGGAUGGCUGGAGUGCAGGGGAGGUAAGUGGAAUUCCUAGUGUAGCGGUGAAAUGCGUAGAUAUUAGGAGGAACACCAGUGGCGAAGGCGGCUUACUGGACUGUAACUGACGUUGAGGCUCGAAAGCGUGGGGAGCAAACAGGAUUAGAUACCCGUGUAGUC
rnacentral:rRNA from 1 species